rnacentral:misc_RNA from 1 species
UUUAUUUCGUCGAGUACCCCUUUGGAGUGCGAGGCGGACAUUGAAGCAACCCCCUUGUUCCAUGUGAAACACAUCACGGUGUGUUGCACGUAUGGCCCAUGGGUGAUUGCUCGUAUUCUCGGAUGCGGAAACCAGUGCGGGUACGGGGUUUCCACCCUUGUUUGCCCAAACAAAGCGUUCGUCGCUUGACACGUACGACGGUCGUGCUCGUUUUGACCUUCCAAGCAUCUUGGUAAGGCUCAUGCGAUGCCGGCGUCGCACAGGAAUGCUACCUGGUUGAUCCUGCCAGUAGUCAUAUGC